rnacentral:rRNA from 1 species
GAUGAACGCUGGCGGCGUGCUUAACACAUGCAAGUCGAACGAUGACCCCCAGCUUGCUGGGGUGAUUAGUGGCGAACGGGUGAGUAACACGUGAGUAACCUGCCCCUGACUCUGGGAUAAGCCCGGGAAACUGGGUCUAAUACUGGAUAUGCACCGUAAGCCGCAUGGCUUUUGGUGGAAAGAUUUUUUGGUCAGGGAUGGACUCGCGGCCUAUCAGCUUGUUGGUGAGGUAAUGGCUCACCAAGGCGACGACGGGUAGCCGGCCUGAGAGGGUGACCGGCCACACUGGGACUGAGACACGGCCCAGACUCCUACGGGUGGCUG